UACGGAGGUUGCGAGCGUUACCCGGAUUUACUGGGCGUAAAGGGCGUUUAGGCGGUUUUCUAAGUCCGGGGCUAAAGACCAGGGCUCAACCCUGGGUUUGCCUUGGAUACUGGAAAGCUCGACGGCUGGAGGGGGCAGCGGAAUUUCCGGAGUAGCGGUGAAAUGCGCAGAUACCGGAAGGAACGCCAAUAGCGAAGGCAGCUGCCGGGGCAGUACGUGACUAUGAGGCGCGAAAGCGUGGGGAGCAAACCGG
rnacentral:rRNA from 1 species